UACGUAGGGGGGCAAGCGUUGUCCGGAAUUAUUGGGCGGUAAAGCGCGCGCAGGCGGUCCUUUAAGUCUGGAAUGUGAAAGCCCACGGCUCAACCCGUGGAGGGUCAUUGGAAACUGGGGGACUUGAGUGCAGGAGAGAAGAGUGGAAUUCCACGUGUAGCGGAUGAAAUGCGCAGAUAUCAGGAAGAACACCUAUGGCGAAGGCAGCUCUCUGGGACGGUACUGACGCUGAGGAGCGAAAGCGUGGGGAGCGAACAGG
rnacentral:rRNA from 1 species